rnacentral:rRNA from 1 species
AUUGAACGCUGGCGGCAGGCCUAACACAUGCAAGUCGAACGAGUGGCACGCGGGUGAGUAAUGUCUGGGAAACUGCCCGGUGGAGGGGGAUAAAUACGAGAAACGGUAGCUAAUCCCGCAUAACCUCGGAUGUGCCGAGAUGGGAUUAGCUAGUGGGUGGGGUAACGGCUCACCUAGGCGACGAUCCCUAGCUGGUCUGAGAGGAUGACCAGCCACACUGGAACUGAGACACGGUCCAGACUCCUACGGGAGGCAGCAGUGGGGAAUAUUGCACAAGGGGCGCAAGCCUGAUGCAGCCAUGCCGCGUGUAUGAAGAAGGCCUUCGGGUUGUAAAGUACUUUCAGCGGGGAGGCGUUACCCGCAGAAGAAGCACCGGCUAACUCCGUGCCAGCAGCCGCGGUAAUAC